GAGUGGCGAACGGGCGAGGAAUGCGUUUCUAACGUGCCCCAAGGUCGAGGAUAGCUCGGGGAAACCCGGGGUAAUACUCGAUGACCCCCAUGGAUCGCAUGGUUCGUGGGGCAAAGGCUUGCUGCCUUGGGAUCGGGAAACGCCCUAUCAGGUUGUUGGUGAGGUAACGGCUCACCAAGCCUAAGACGGGUAGCGGGUGUGAGAGCAUGACCCGCCGCAUCGGGACUGAGACACUGCCCGGACCCCUACGGGAGGCUGCAGCAACGGAUAUUGGGCAAUGAGCGAAAGCUUGACCCAGCAAUGCCGCGUGCAGGAGGAAGCCCCUCGGGGUGUAAACUGCUGUCAGGGUUUAGGAAGUUCUGACCAAACCCAAAGGAAGGGCCGGCUAACUUCGUGCCAGCAGCCGCGGUAAUACGAAGGGCCCAAGCGUUAAUCGGAAUCACUGGGCUUAAAGGGUGCGCAGGCGGAAUGGUCAGUGUCUUGUGAAAUCCCACGGCUCAACCGUGGAACUGCAGGGCAUACUGCCAUUCUUGAGGCCCGGUAGAGGCCGCCGGAACUCUAGGUGUAGCGGUGAAAUGCGUAGAUAUCUAGAGGAACGCCAAAGACGAAGGUAGGCGGCUGGGCCGGUUCUGACGCUCAGGCACGAAAGCGUGGGGAGCAAACAGGAUUAGAUACCCUGGUAGUCCACGCCGUAAACGUUGUGCACUAGGUGCUGGAGGUUCUGACACCAUCAGCGCCGAAGCGAAAGUGAUUAGUGCACCGCCUGGGGAGUACGGUCGCAAGGCUAAAACUCAAAGGAAUUGACGGGGGCUCACACAAGCGGUGGAGCAUGUGGCUUAAUUCGAGGCAACGCGAAGAACCUUAUCCUGGGCUUGACAUGCAUGGAUUAACGCUGGGAAACCAGCGCCACACUCUUUGAGUGGAACAUGCACAGGUGCUGCAUGGCUGUCGUCAGCUCGUGCUGUGAAGUGUUGGGUUAAGUCCCUUAACGAGCGAAACCCCUGUCGCUAGUUACCAUCAGGUAAUGCUGGGGACUCUAGCGAGACUGCCGGUGUCAAACCGGAGGAAGGCGGGGAUGACGUCAAGUCCUCAUGGCCUUUAUGCCCAGGGCUGCACACGUGCUACAAUGGCGCCGACAGAGCGAAGCAAAACCGCGAGGUAGAGCAAAUCGCAAAAAAGGUGCCCCAGUUCGGAUUGCAGUCUGCAACUCGACUGCAUGAAGCCGGAAUCGCUAGUAAUCGCGUAUCAGCAACGACGCGGUGAAUACGUUCCUGAGCCUUGUACACACCGCCCGUCAAGUCAUGGAAGCCGGGAGUACCCGAAG
rnacentral:rRNA from 1 species